UUUGUACUGUUGCAUUGCAAUUUGCAACGUUGCAACGUUGCUGCAAUGUUGGUGCAAGCUUCUGUGCUGUAUGAGAUUAUACUCAUUAAAUGUAUACUGAAUUGUAUAUUGUAAUCAGUACAUAUCUUAACAAAGUCAUGUUAUAUCUUAAAAAAUUCGCGAACGCGUCCAGAAACAUCGUCUUGUUAAAUCUGCAUUGAAGAGUGUUACACAAUCUGAUUAUUCCUCAAGUAUGUAAAAUCCUAUUUAUCGCUAUAUGCAAGUUUAACUGAUUGUUCUUUAAUUCUUAUAUUUUAUUCAUUAUUUAGUUGAAACUGUAGAUAAACCUUCAAAUCUUUCUAGUUUUCGAGAAUCUAUAGAGAUUCAAAUACUGAGAAUGAUUUACAUGAAUAAAUAAAUAAUUUUAUCUUCUUUUACAUGCCAUAAAUUUAACAUUAUUACAAAUAAUAUUUCUUACUGUCACAAAUUUAAUCGAAACGGCGAAGAAUGAUACGUUACACUACUGUGAGAUAACGUUAAGAGCACACUGUCGUAUAAGUUGUAUAUAACAAGAAUUUAAAACGCGCUCAUCAGAUAUACUUGAUAGCGUAGUGGACUAGGAUGAGGAUUGCGGCGCUCAACGACUCAGGUUUGAAUCCCUUGCUCGAGCUUCUUUCGAGCUGCUGAGGCUUCGUCGCUCCUGUCGCUGUAUCCGCGCGGCGUCAUAAGAGUCUGCAUACUCUUUACAAUGGGAACCGAUUUUCUAAGCCUACUAUAUGGCCCUGGAAUCGCCGAUUAGGACUUUUCAGACCAUUACAGCGGAUGCUAGAAUGCACACCGUUUGACGCCUGCGACGUCGAAGCCGCUGAAGGCGGCGUCCAUAUCUAUAUUUAUAUACAUGUUUUUUUAACCAAAAAAAUAUUUUUAUAUUGUAUUUUUGGUAAAACUCCUGUUUAGGGGAGCCUGCUCCAAUGACCUUGACCUUGACAUAUGUUGUCAAGGUUACCCUCCUGAGUAAUGUAAAAAAGAUUUUAACCGUCG